rnacentral:rRNA from 1 species
UGGGGAAUUUUGGACAAUGGGCGAAAGCCUGAUCCAGCAAUGCCGCGUGUGUGAAGAAGGCCUUCGGGUUGUAAAGCACUUUUGUCCGGAAAGAAAUCCUUGGCUCUAAUACAGUCGGGGGAUGACGGUACCGGAAGAAUAAGCACCGGCUAACUACGUGCCAGCAGCCGCGGUAAUACGUAGGGUGCAAGCGUUAAUCGGAAUUACUGGGCGUAAAGCGUGCGCAGGCGGUUGCUAAGACCGAUGUGAGAUCCCCCGGGCUCAACCUGGGAACUGCAUUGGUGACUGGCAGGCUAGAGUAUGGCAGAGGGGGGUAGAAUUCCACGUGUAGCAGUGAAAUGCGUAGAGAUGUGGAGGAAUACCGAUGGCGAAGGCAGCCCCCUGGGCCAAUACUGACGCUCAUGCACGAAAGCGUGGGGAGCAAACAGGAUUAGAUACCCUGGUAGUCACGCCCUAAACGAUGUCAACUAGUUGUUGGGGAUUCAUUUCCUUAGUAACGUAGCUAACGCGUGAAGUUGACCGCCUGGGGAGUACGGUCGCAAGAUUAAAACUCAAAUGAAUUGAC